rnacentral:rRNA from 1 species
UACGUAGGGGGCAAGCGUUGUCCGGAUUUACUGGGCGUAAAGCGCGUGUAGGCGGCUUUGCAAGUCGGAUGUGAAAGCCCACGGCUCAACCGUGGAAGUGCAUCCGAAACUGAUCGAUGCUCGAGUCUCGGAGAGGAAGGUGGAAUGGCUUGGUGUAGAGGUGAAAUUCGUAGAUAUACAAGCAGAACACCUGCGGCGAAGGCGGCCUUCUGGACGAUGACGUGACGCUGAGACGCGAAAGCGUGGGGAGCAAACAGG